rnacentral:lncRNA from 1 species
CCAUGCGGGGGCAUGUAAGAGAGAUGAUUCAAUUGGGCCUUCCCGUUGCAGAUGCACCUCCCGAAGAUGAAACCAUUGCUGGGACCUCCAAAGGCAUGUUCAAUUAUUUUUUAAAAAAAAUACUCUAUGAUAUUAAAAUAAUUAUUUUUAAUUGUUUUUCUAUGAAAAUGAAAUAUAAUUGAACUUCAUAUUAGCCUAUUACAUGUGUUGAAAUAUUGACUGUCCGUUCAUUUUUUAAUUUGUUUGAUCAUAUAUGGUUGGGUUUGUUGUUGUUGUGCUAUGUUUGGGGACCAUGAAGGGUCCGGGAGUCAUAAGGUUGGGAUAUAUGAAUGAGUACUUGUGUUUUGUAUGUAUAAAUAAAACCAUGUAGUGUGCUUAUAUGGACUGCACUUGCAGUGUUUGAUAUAAUGCUUGAGAAACAUUUGUUUGGUCAAUAUGUUAUGUUAACUAUGUAGUCAAGUCCAGGACCAUGUCUAUGUGUUAUAAUAGUAAUCAAAUGCUUACUUGGAUGCUUAGAUAUUAAAUGUAACAUGGCUUAGGAUUAACUUGGAUAGCUAUGUAGUUUCAUGUCUAAAGCUCAAGUAAUGGGGUUGUUAUGUGUCAAUGACAUGCUAGCUAUGAAGUAAUGAACUCUUGACCAUGUACAUAAGUUGUUUAGCAAUCACAUGUUGCAUAUAUGUCUAAAUGUUAACCUUAACAUAGCUUGGGGCUGUUUUGAGUUAUAAUGCUAAAUCCAUGCUUACAACUAUGUCAUUUGGUGAAAUGACAGGGAAUUAGAUAUUCUGACCAUUCUAGGCCAUAAUAAACUUAUGUUAGAUCAAAAAUGAUUGCUGGAAAUGGUUCCAAAGUAUAGCCAAGCCACGAGUUAUCAAUAAUAAGGUUUCAUGUGUUAUUUGUUAUGUGUAAUGUGAGUUCCAAAAGUCAAAAUCAUGCAAAACCAUUAAAGCAAGGUUAUGUUAAAAGUAAUCUUGUGUUACCAUAUUGCACAUGUCUAAGCUAUCUAUAUGGCCAAAAUCUGCAGAGGUAGGAUGGAACUAAAAUCAGGUCAAACUGGACCUGUGAUGAACAGUGGCUUAGCUUGUAUAUACUAAAUUACAUUUCAUGGCACAAUAAAUUGAAGAGCUGUUGUUCGGAUUGAGUACUGAUUUUCAAGUAAGUUUUCCUUUUGAAAUUCUUCUGUUUUGAUCUAAUUAUGGUUACUGUUGUUGUUCGGAUCAUCACUGCUGUAGAUCUGCUGUAUUUCGUGUUUUAGUUUUGGCUGCGAUCUUUUGUUUAUUGAUGAAAUCUUAUCGAUUAAUCAAGCUGUGGUAGAUAUUUCAUGUUUUACUUCGAUGAAGUAAUCAGUUAGUUAUGGAAAUCUAAAAUUACUGUAAAAAUAUUUGUUGUUCGUAAUCAAUGUUGUUUUGUGUCCAUUGAUUUCUUGACCUUAUUAUAUUCAUUAGAAGAGAAAAGAAAGUUGUAUAUGGGAGAAUGAAGAUUCAUACUUCCUUUCCCUAUCAAUGUAUAUGUCACAAAGUAUGAAACUGGGGGACUUUAUUGGCCUAUUGCACAUAAUGCAAUAAUCUUCUCAUUACUGCUGAUGCACAGUAGUUUUGGCAGUCUUCGGGAUUAAAAAAGCACCAAUUGCUUCUGGUUUCACCAUCCCACUGAUCAUUUGCACUCUCCUUUUCCACAUCUACUGCACGCAAAGGUUUUUACUGUCUUUUAAAAACAAUGUUGCAUAGGUAUUGGCUGAAAAACCAACUUUACUUUCAAAAACUCUCUUUUUCUAUGUUUAAUGUAAAUUUGUUCACCAGAUUGUCAUGGAGAUGGAUAGGCAAGACGAGUAGUCUGGAAAACUGGAAGAGAUUCAUCAACAGUUGCAUUCGGCCUAUUGUCAUUUCAAAUCCACUACCCAGUACUCAUCUACAGUUGCCCAUCUAGAUGAGGUUGAGAAUGGUAGACAAAUGGAAGAGAUUGGCGACCGUUUGCGUUCAGCUUAUUGUUCGUUUAAAUCCAUUUCUUACGAUUCGCCUAUAGCUGGGAACCUGGACCAGUUUGAGAAUGGUGGUGAUCACAGGCUCCAAGACUCUAAAUUAGGUGACUAACACAUAAUUUAUCACUCAAACUUUUACUUUUAGACCCACCUUCUAUUAAAUUUUUUGACCGUCUAUGCCAUAUAUUUUGCAGUAAAGAGAUCAAAUCGAUUGCCACAUGGAUUACAGGCUGAGCUUUAAAUAUCAUGGAUUACAUGGAUUAGAUAGUGUAUGAAUCAAAGAUUAAUACACAAUGAGCUGUAUUCUGAUUUGCAGAUUGUGUAAACGCCUGUACAAAAAGUAGGAUUUCGUAGUGCUUGACAUGUGUAUGUAGAUACGCAGCAGGUCAUUUUGCCAUUAUAUGUAUAUAUGUAUAUAUAACGCUUUUAUCCUGGUCUUGGGAUUCAUUUUUGUAUAACUAAUUAGUAAAUUUGUUCUAUGCAUAUUAUAUAUACUUCCUUAACAAUGAGUUCCACUUGCACUACAAUGUAUGUUCAUUCGUUUUUCUGUGUAAAAUUUGAUCAUCGCAUAACAAUCUAUCGCUAUAUUGGGUAAUUAUUAUUAAAAAAUUAAAUAAUCCUGUCGCAACACGCGGGUUUCUAUCUAGUUAACCACUAAACAAAUUCAAG